GCUACAGGCUUAACACAUGCAAGUCGAGGGGCAGCRCARKGYAGCAAURCWKRGGYGGCGACCGGCGCACGGGUGCGUAACGCGUAUCCAACCUUCCCGUUACUCAKGGAUAGCCUUCCGAAAGGGAGAUUAAUACMUGAUGGUGUUGAAAUUCCGCAUGUUAUUYMAACUAAAGAUUUAUCGGUAACGGAUGGGGAUGCGUGACAUUAGGUAGAUGGCGGGGUAACGGCCCACCAUGCCUACGAUGUCUAGGGGUUCUGAGAGGAAGGUCCCCCACACUGGUACUGAGACACGGACCAGACUCCUACGGGAGGCAGCAGUGAGGAAUAUUGGUCAAUGGGCGGAAGCCUGAACCAGCCAAGUAGCGUGAAGGAUUACAGCCCUACGGGUUUUAAACUUCUUUUAUAUAAGAGYAAUGUGCACUACGUGUAGUGUAUUGCAAGUAUUAUAUGAAUAAGCAUCGGCUAACUCCGUGCCAGCAGCCGCGGUAAUACGGAGGAUGCGAGCGUUAUCCGGAUUUAUUGGGUUUAAAGGGAGCGUAGACGGGAGAUUAAGUCAGUUGUGAAAGGCUGCGGCUCAACCGCAGCACUGCAGUUGAUACUGGUUUCCUUGAGUKCGGUUGAGGURURUGGAAUUCGUGGUGUAGCGGUGAAAUGCUUAGAUAUCACG
rnacentral:rRNA from 1 species